rnacentral:ncRNA from 1 species
CGGCCUGAGGUCGGACGAGGCUACCCGCUGAAUUUAAGCAUAUUACUAAGCGGAGGAAAAGAAACUAACGAGGAUUCCCUCAGUAACGGCGAGUGAAGCGGGACGAGCCCAGCGCCGAAUCCGGCCGCUUAUGGAGCGGACGGAAUUGUGGCGUAUGGAAUUCGCUUCGAGCGCGGACCGGCUGCCCACGUCCUUCUGAUCGAGGCUUCAUCCCAUAGCGGGUGUCAGGCCCUUGGCGGCGGCUGGCCCGGGCUCUCGGUGUCUUCCCGGAGUCGGGUUGUUUGGGAAUGCAGCCCAACUGAGGUAAAAAAUUUUCAACAAUUUUUGAAAAAUUUCUCUAGAGUUUUUUCCUACAAGUACCAGUGGUAACUUAUGCAUUAAAAUUUGUACAUGUGCUGCAAGUCUGACCGUGGUUACACGGGCGAACUUUAAACAAAAUUCCAUCGCUGGAACAUACCGAACUGAGGUAAAAAAUUUUCAAAAUUUUUGAAAAAUUUUCUAAGUUUUUUCCCCACUUCCAGUGGUAACUUAUGCAUUAAAAUUUGUACAUGU